rnacentral:tRNA from 2 species
GAUCCAUUAGCUCAAUGGUUAGAGCAUUGGUCUUAUGAGCCAAAGGUUGUGGGUUCGAGCCCCACAUGGAUCA